rnacentral:rRNA from 1 species
GCUUGCUACUGGUGAUGGCGACCGGCGCACGGGUGAGUAACGCGUAUCCACCUUCCCAUGACUGGUGAAUAACCUUGCGAAAGUAAGACUAAUACCCCAUGGUUUCCGAGGCGGACAUCCAAUUUGGAAUAAAGAUUCAUCGGUCAUGGAUGGGGAUGCGUCUGAUUAGCUUGUUGGCGGGGUAACGGCCCACCAAGGCGACGAUCAGUAGGGGUUCUGAGAGGAAGGUCCCCCACAUUGGAACUGAGACACGGUCCACACUCCUACGGGAGGCAGCAGUGAGGAAUAUUGGUCAAUGGACGAGAGUCUGAACCAGCCAAGUAGCGUGCAGGAUGACGGCCCUAUGGGUUGUAAACUGCUUUUAUACGGGAAUAAAGUGGCUCACGUGUGGGUUUUUGUAUGUACCGUAUGAAUAAGGACCGGCUAAUUCCGUGCCAGCAGCCGCGGUAAUACGGAAGGUCCGGGCGUUAUCCGGAUUUAUUGGGUUUAAAGGGAGCGUAGGCCGCCGAUUAGGCGUGUUGUGAAAUGCCGCAGCUCACCUGUGGCACUGCAGCGCGAACUGGUUGGCUUGAGUGCGCGGAAGGCAGGCGGAAUUUGUGGUGUAGCGGUGAAAUGCUUAGAUAUCACGAAGAACCCCGAUUGCGAAGGCAGCCUGCCGCAGCGUAACUGACGCUGAAGC